UUGAAAAUCAUUCAUCGUUAUAUGAAAAAAGCAAUAAACUUUUGUUCAUGUUUUGAAUAAAUGUUCACGUUUUCCAGAAAGAAAACACUUUAACAGUUGUUCGAGUUUCAAAAUUUGUUCAGGAAAACAUUAUACAUUCUUUUGAAUGAAGAUUAAAAACCAGAUCUGCCUCCGUACAUAGUACUUCAAGUUUACGUUGUACUUACAUCCAAUCCGAGUCGCUAGGUGCAGUGGCUGACGAUGCAGCCGUACAGCUAAGGUCACCGGUUCGAAUCCAACCAGGCUAUAAUUUUUCGUUUGUAUCGUAUUUUCUUAUGUUCACUCGUGGCCUCGUAAUGGGCCGGCCCGUUUGCGCGAGCCCUGCGCGGAAGCUCUCCUGUUUGACGCUAACGAGCGUCAAACAGGAGCUCCCGUUUUUCCUUAUAGUGGCACUGUCUCGCUUUAGCAGGCCUAUUUCAUGGUCGCGUUUGAAUGUCCAGUUGUCCACCCUCCUCCUUCCUCCACCACCGCCUUCUCUACCUUCACCUCCUCCUACAACCUGUGCUACAGCAGCAAGGUCCUACCGCCCCCCAGCCAUCACCGGCCACACUCUUCUCCGAUCUGAACCUGCCGCGCUCCGUGGAGGACCAGAAUCACCAUGACCCCCACCGGUGCUAGAUCCAGCUGCCUCCACCCUCAUCCUCCUGAUUUGAGAUCCGUGGAGGGGUUGAGAUCCUGGCUGCCACCCACCACUCCCUCUCAAAUCUCUAUAGGACGGUGGCAAGCCCGCUGGUCUACGGGGAGGGUCGGCCUUGACUUGCCUACGGGGAGGGUCGGCCUUGACUUGCAGUAGGAGGAGGAGCUCCCAGGCCGCCUUCACCCCCCUUGCCCCAUCGCCGCCACCACCAGGAGGCCGACCACCAUGGAGUUCUGUGUAAAUUUGGUUGAAAUUUACGUAGUUUGAGCUUCUGUAUUCCUCUGAUUUUUCUUAUGUUCGAAGAAGCGGCCAAGGCUGGACCCGGUGAUGGGGCGACCUGCCAGCGGUGGUAGUAGGGGCAGGCCGCGAGCGAGACCUGUGCCACGUCCGGGGCGCGGUGAGAAGCUCCGCCGGAAGACUCGACAGAUGGGGGUACCUGCUGAAAAGGAAAUACAUUCUCGAAAAAGUACAUAUGCCUCGAGGUAUACACGCGAUGGGAUAUAGGGUCAUAGCAUAGACAACCUCUGAUUGUCAAAAAAUAAAUAGACAACCUCUGAUGUUGGAAGGGUAGCCCAGAAAAAUGCAAGCGAGCGAACGGUGUGUGAGCUUGUGUGGUGUGCUCGAUAUAGUUGAUGUUUCCUCCCUUGGAUUAUUUGAUUGCUCAGACCGGACCGAGGACGACAAGCAAUCGGUUGUUUU